rnacentral:tmRNA from 1 species
GGGGGUGAUCGGUUUCGACUUCGGUGGUUGUUCCAGGGGAAGCGGGCCGAGGACCGCGAUUGUAACCUCGUUAAUCCUGCGAUCGCACAAAUAACAAGUGCCAAUUCCAAGCGCACUGAGUUCGCUCUCGCUGCCUAAGCGAUAGCGUCUCUGUCGGCCUGAGCUCGUCUCCGGCUCAGGAUCCGGCAUCGUUAGGAGACUCACCGUUCAGAUCAGGCCACGGGGCCUGAGCGGGAAAAUCACGUGGCUGGGCUCGUCAGCGACACGUCUGCGUGAGCGCUGGAGCCGAGUAGAACGGCGAGCAGACUGCGCCCGGAGAAGCCCUGUUGCGGUACCGAAGGACGCGGGUUCAAUUCCCGCCACCUCCACGA